AAAAGAGUCGCUCGUCUUCUCCCCGCCCCUCCCCCCAGUCCCAGUGUCUCUCCCGAGAGGCCCGUCUUCUCUGCAGCCUUGCCUGCUGACCUGUCCCCUCCUCUACCUCUCCCGCGGCCCCUCCAUAGAGCCUCCACGCUCUGUCUGGCCUCUUCCCCGCCUCCCCACCGGGGGCCCUGCUGCUCAGGGGCUCCUGACAAGAGUUUCCGGCCAGAGGAGUUCGGGAAAUGCUGCAUCCUUUCCCCACCUUUGGAGGUGUGAUGUACAUUAGACUGUUGGUCCCGAGAAUCAAGUGAAGAGAUGGGUUUGAUUUUGCUCAGCCUAGUAUUUCUAGAACGUCCUUUUGUCAAGGGACGCCUGUUAUACAUGUGCUUCUGAGACUGUUUUGGAAAACACAGGUCCAUUGAACAAAUCCAGCCUCUGUAUUCAUCGUGGUCUUCAGGACCUUUUGCAGCCUGGCCCAGCCUGACCUCCCCUGACCUUCCAGGCAGAUCUCCCGUCCCUGUCUCUGUGCACCAUGAACCCUGGCUUCGGUCACACAGGCAGCUGCUCUGGUUCUGGAACACUCUGACCUGCCGUUCUCACUGCCUGGGGUGCCAUCUCCCAUCUUGUAAGGUUCUGCUGUGCCUCCACGGUCCAUGUGUGUGAAGCCUUCCCCACCCCUCGUCAGGUUCAUCAGCCACAGCAUCCCGUUCCAGUCACCCCAGUGAGCCAUCCGUGUGAAACGGGUGUUCACGAGCUUGGGUGCUGCUUCCCUUGCCGACCGCAAGUCCUCAGUCUCUCUUGUUGGGUCCCCGUGGCUCAGGGCAGCACCCGCCUUCCAGGAAACAGGAUGCCAUCGUGGACCGGACUGCUCUGUCCCCCCACCGCCUGGCCCACCACUCCCUUCCUGGCCUCAGCCAGCGCAGCGAGCCUUCUGCCACAACGGCGCAGCCUUGGAGUGCAGGGGUGCCCUGCCAGCCUCUGCCCAGGGGCCACGGAGCCACACUGCUCUUUGCCGGGACAGUGGCAAGUGUGAUAAAGGUUUUUGGAUGCUGGACAAGACCUCUCAUUUCAUGGUGGCACAGUGUCUGGCCACGGGUCUGCCCCCAGCCGUCCGGUGCUCCUAGUGACUUCUGCGGGCGAAGGGACAUUUUAACCAUCUGGAGAGUUGGUAGAAGAUGCAAGCUGAAAACGGAAGAUUCCAGUUGUGGUUUUGAACCCUCACGUGCCAGCGAAUGUAAACCUCUCCUGGGUGGAUGUGUGUGCCCACCUGUUCAAAUAGCGCCCGGUACCCUCCCGUCAGGAAAUCCCACGUCCUCCUCCGCUCCAGAGCCAGAAGAGCCUCCAAAUGUUACUCCUCAUGAAGCCUCCUUUCAAAUGCAUCUUGCUUGAGAAGAAGAUCAAUUGCUUUAUUUAAAAGUUUAAAAACUUCAGUAUCAAACUUCCCGUGAGGUUUGAGAGCCCUGUAGCUUACGGAGCCAUAUCCAGAUGUCGCCCCACUUUAUACUUUUCUGUUGUUUUGUGGAUGUAUCCAGAGCUGCUUAUGUACUCUUUUUUAAUUAAAAGUCUUAUUUUUAUAUUGAAAA